rnacentral:tRNA from 1 species
AAAAAGAUAAGCUAAAUAUAAGCUAAUAGGUUCAUACCCUAUUUAUGAAGUAAAUUCUCUUUUUA